rnacentral:rRNA from 1 species
GACGAACGCUGGCGGCGUGCUUAACACAUGCAAGUCGAACGCAAAGGCCCUGCUUUUGUGGGGUGCUCGAGUGGCGAACGGGUGAGUAACACGUGAGUAACCUUCCCUUGACUUUGGGAUAACUUCAGGAAACUGGGGCUAAUACCGGAUAGGAGCUCCUGCUGCAUGGUGGGGGUUGGAAGGUUUCGGCGGUUGGGGAUGGACUCGCGGCUUAUCAGCUUGUUGGUGGGGUAGUGGCUUACCAAGGCUUUGACGGGUAGCCGGCCUGAGAGGGUGACCGGCCACAUUGGGACUGAGAUACGGCCCAGACUCCUACGGGAGGCAGCAGUGGGGAAUAUUGCACAAUGGGCGGAAGCCUGAUGCAGCAACGCCGCGUGCGGGAUGACGGCCUUCGGGUUGUAAACCGCUUUCGCCUGUGACGAAGCGUGAGUGACGGUAAUGGGUAAAGAAGCACCGGCUAACUACGUG